rnacentral:tRNA from 1 species
UGCCUUGGUGGUGAAAUGGUAGACACGCGAGACUCAAAAUCUCGUGCUAAAAAGCGUGGAGGUUCGAGUCCUCUUCAAGGCAUAAUAUGAAAUAUUGAGAAUGCUCAUUGACUUGGAAUAAGUUCGGCAGCGGAUCACG